CCGAACCACGGCAGGAACGGGGGAACCACGACUGGCCCGCGGGUGAACUGCGGGCCUAUGGGGUGAAGCCUGCGGGAGCAGGCCGGGCUUCUCCAGUCCGAACCCGACAGCUCACCUCGGCAGCUCAAUAAGGAGAA
rnacentral:sRNA from 1 species